GUGCUGUCUUUGCUCAAGAAAAUUCUAAGCUGAAAUUCUAUAUUCCAGCCCCUGUGGAGGGUGAAAGAGGAAAAGUGAGAGCCAUCGCGUCCCUCCAUUCCUAGGACCCAAGACUCAGCGAUCAAAACAGACCCUGCCAGCACUCCAGCUUCCCAAGAAACACUGGAGAUGAAUAAAUGAUUCACCACGUGGCCAGGACUGCAGCCCUUUCUCUGGAAGAGAAUUCAAGCCCACUUUAUUUAAACCAAGGGGCUACAGACCUGGUGGUGGAGGUCUUCAACCACUGGAAUUCCCUUGGGAGACCAUUAGAAUGGUAUUUUUUUACCCUUUACUUGGCUAUGGGGUUCCCUGAAUAGUGAUACCUCCCUAAGGAGAAAAGUGCAAGGCCUCGCCACUGUUUUCCAGCAACAAAGGAAUGAAUUCCAUAAGCUCCUGCUGAACAUACUGCUAGAGUUAGAAUGUGUGUCAAAGUGAGAUGAUUCUUUGAAGGUCUUUGUAAGCCAGUGUUAUCCCA
rnacentral:lncRNA from 1 species